rnacentral:misc_RNA from 1 species
AGAGGAUUUAAAGUGGUACUUGACCACUAGCAUGCUUGAUAGAUAGAUACCAUCAUCCUAGCAUGCUUGACAGAUAGUCAGAUACCAUCAUCCCUAAAACAUCUUAGUAAUUUGUAUGUUUUAUCAUAAGCACCAUAGUCCUGACAUUUUAAUGUACAGACUGUCCAUUCUUUCUAGGUGUUUUACCAUGUUAGCAUUUACACAAUUCAAUUACAAAAAUAGAUAGAAAGGAAAGUUCCUUAAACAUAAUGUCACUAUCAAAGAAAGUAGUUAAUAAAGCAAAUUCAAAUAA